rnacentral:rRNA from 1 species
GAUGAACGCUAGCUACAGGCUUAACACAUGCAAGUCGCGGGGCAGCAUGGGGGUUGCUUGCAAUCCCCGAUGGCGACCGGCGCACGGGUGAGUAACGCGUAUCCAACCUGCCCUUCACCACGGGAUAACCCGGCGAAAGUCGGACUAAUACCGUAUGUUGUCCAUUGACGGCAUCCGAUUUGGACGAAAGGUUUGGCGGGGAAGGAUGGGGAUGCGUCCGAUUAGCUGGACGGCGGGGUGACGGCCCGCCGUGGCGACGAUCGGUAGGGGUUCUGAGAGGAAGGUCCCCCACACUGGAACUGAGACACGGUCCAGACUCCUACGGGAGGCAGCAGUGAGGAAUAUUGAUCAAUGGGCGUAAGCCUGAACCAGCCAAGUAGCGUGCAGGAUGACGGCCCUAUGGGUUGUAAACUGCUUUUAUGCGGGGAUAAAGUGGCCCACGUGUGGGUUUUUGCAGGUACCGCAUGAAUAAGGACCGGCUAAUUCCGUG